AUUUUUGUAGUUGAAUUAACAACAGUGGUUUUUCGUGCCGCGGGUCUCUAAUGAGCAAAAAUU
rnacentral:tRNA from 1 species